GUUUGGUCCUAACCUUGUAAUCAAUUCUUACUUAAUAUACACAUGCAAGUCUCCGCCUCCCUGUGAAAACGCCCUUAAAUCCCCAUUAGGGAUAAGGAGCCGGUAUCAGGCACGAUAAUCUGCCCAAAACACCUAGCUAUGCCACACCCACAAGGGACUCAGCAGUGAUUAACAUUGAACAUAAGCGUCAGCUUGACUCAGUUAAAGUAAAGAGAGCCGGCAAAUCUGGUGCCAGCCGCCGCGGUUACCCCACGUGGCUCAAAUUGAUUUCUAUCGGCGUAAAGCGUGAUUAAAGUCCCCAUUAUAUUGAAGUUAAACUGAAACUAAGCUGUGACACGCUUGUUACACAGAAAACCAUAAACGAAAGUUACUUCAACUUUUCAACUUGAAUACACGACAGCUAGGGCACAAACUGGGAUUAGAUACCCCACUAUGCCUAGCCGUAAACUUUUAAUUACACCCCCCAACGCCCGAGAACUACGAGCAAAGCUUAAAACUCAAAGGACUUGACGGUACCCCAUAUCCCCCUAGAGGAGCCUGUCCUAUAAUCGAUAAUCCCCGUUUAACCUCACCACUUUUAGUUUUUCAGCCUGUAUACCUCCGUCGUCAGCUUACCACGUGAGCGAAAUUUAGUGAGCUUAAUGUCCACACGCCCACACGUCAGGUCAAGGUGCAGCAAAUGAAGUGGGAAGAGAUGGGCUACACUUUCUAUAUUAGAAAACACGAAAGACCACACAUGAAACUUGGUCAGAAGGCGGAUUUAGUAGUAAAAAGAAAUCAAAAUGUUCUUUUUAAUUCGGCACUGGGGUGUGUACACACCGCCCGUCACCCUCUUCAUAAGCCUAACUCUAGUAUUUAACCAACUUAUGCCCGAAUAGAAGAGGCAAGUCGUAACAUGGUAAGUAUACCGGAAGGUGUGCUUGGAAA
rnacentral:ncRNA from 1 species